rnacentral:rRNA from 1 species
GACAGAGGGUGCAAACGUUGUUCGGAAUUACUGGGCGUAAAGCGCGUGUAGGCGGCUUGGCAAGUCGGGUGUGAAAGCCCUGGGCUCAACCCAGGAAGUGCACUCGAAACUGCUUCGCUCGAGUAUCGGAGAGGAAAGCGGAAUUCUCGGUGUAGAGGUGAAAUUCGUAGAUAUCGAGAGGAACACCGUUGGCGAAGGCGGCUUUCUGGACGAUUACUGACGCUGAGACGCGAAAGCGUGGGGAGCAAACAGG